rnacentral:rRNA from 1 species
AUGAACGCUAGCGGCAGGCCCUAAUACAUGCAAGUCGAGGGGCAGCACGUUAUAGCAAUAUGAUGGUGGCGACCGGCGCACGGGUGCGUAACACGUAUGUAUCUACCCAUAACAGGGGGAUAGCCCGGAGAAUCCGGAUGAACACCCCAUAAUACUAUUGGAGAGCAUUCUUUGAUAGUUAAAACUCAGGUGGUUAUGGAUGAACAUGCGACUGAUUAGUUAGUUGGUGAGGUAACGGCUCACCAAGACCACGAUCAGUAGGGGUACUAAGAGGUUAUACACCCCACACUGGUACUGAGACACGGACCAGACUCCUACGGGAGGCAGCAGUAAGGAAUAUUGGACAAUGGAGGCAACUCUGAUCCAGCCAUGCCGCGUGAAGGAAGAAGGACCUAUGGUUUGUAAACUUCUUUUGUAGCAGAGAAAACCCUUCCUUGUGAGGGAGGUUGAUAGUAUGCUAAGAAUAAGGAUCGGCUACCUCCGUGCCAGCAGCCGCGUAGGUAAUACGAGGAUGCCAGCGUUAUCCGGAUUUAUUGGGUUUAAAGGGUGCGUAGGCGGUCCUAUUAAGUCAGUGGGUGAAAGACUGUAGCUUAACUAUCGCAGUGCCAUUUGAUACUGAUGGACUUGAAUGUACUGAUGGUAUGGCGGAAUGUGACAGUAGCGGUGAAAUGCAUAGAUAUGUCACAGAACACCAAUUGCGAAGGCAGCUGACGAAAGUAUGAUUGACGCUGAGGCACGAAAGCGUGGGGAUCAAACAGGAUUAGAUACCCUGGUAGUCCACGCCCUAAACGAUGACUACUCGAUUGUUGGCGAUAUACUAGUCAGCGUCUAAGCGAAAGCGUUAAGUGUUCCACCUGGGGAGUACGCCCGCAAGGGUGAACUCAAAGGAAUUGACGGGGGCCCGCACAAGCGGAGGAGCAUGUGGUUUAAUCGAUGAGUACGCGAGGAACCUUACCACGGGCUUGAAAGUUAGUGAAUGAGCAGAUACCUCUAAGAGAUCUUCGUAGGACACGAAACUAGGUGCUGCAUGGCUGUCGUUCAGCUCGUGCCGUGAGGUGUUGGGUAAGUCCCGCAACGAGCGCAACCCCUAUGUUCAGUUGCCAACAUGUAAUGGUGGGGACUCUAGACAGGAACUGCCGCGCAAGGUGAGAGGAGAGGUGGGACGACGUCAAGUCAUCAUGGCCCUUACGUCCGGGCUACACACGUGCUACAAUGGCCAUAUCAGAGGGCAGCUACCUGGCAACAGGAUGCCUAAUCUCAGAAAAGUGGUUCUACAGUUCGGAUUGGGGUCUGCAACUCGACCCCAGUGAAGUUGGAUUCGCUAGUAAUCGCGCAUCAGCAAUGGCUGCGGUGAAUACGUUCCCGGGCCUUGUACACACCGCCCGUCAAGCCAUGGAAAGCUGGGAGUAGCCUGAAAGCUCGGUGACCGCAAGGAGCCUCCUAGGGUAAAACCGGUGACUGGGGCU